UGCCUAAUACAUGCAAGUCGAACGAUGAAGCUUCUAGCUUGCUAGAGUGCUGAUUAGUGGCGCACGGGUGAGUAACGCAUAGGUUAUGUGCCUCUUAGUUUGGGAUAGCCAUUGGAAACGAUGAUUAAUACCAGAUACUCCCUACGGGGGAAAGAUUUAUCGCUAAGAGAUCAGCCUAUGUCCUAUCAGCUUGUUGGUAAGGUAAUGGCUUACCAAGGCUAUGACGGGUAUCCGGCCUGAGAGGGUGAACGGACACACUGGAACUGAGACACGGUCCAGACUCCUACGGGAGGCAGCAGUAGGGAAUAUUGCUCAAUGGGGGAAACCCUGAAGCAGCAACGCCGCGUGGAGGAUGAAGGUUUUAGGAUUGUAAACUCCUUUUGUUAGAGAAGAUAAUGACGGUAUCUAACGAAUAAGCACCGGCUAACUCCGUGCCAGCAGCCGCGGUAAUACGGAGGGUGCAAGCGUUACUCGGAAUCACUGGGCGUAAAGAGCGCGUAGGCGGGAUAGUCAGUCAGGUGUGAAAUCCUAUGGCUUAACCAUAGAACUGCAUUUGAAACUACUAUUCUAGAGUGUGGGAGAGGUAGGUGGAAUUCUUGGUGUAGGGGUAAAAUCCGUAGAGAUCAAGAGGAAUACUCAUUGCGAAGGCGACCUGCUGGAACAUUACUGACGCUGAUUGCGCGAAAGCGUGGGGAGCAAACAGGAUUAGAUACCCUGGUAGUCCACGCCCUAAACGAUGGAUGCUAGUUGUUGGAGGGCUUAGUCUCUCCAGUAAUGCAGCUAACGCAUUAAGCAUCCCGCCUGGGGAGUACGGUCGCAAGAUUAAAACUCAAAGGAAUAGACGGGGACCCGCACAAGCGGUGGAGCAUGUGGUUUAAUUCGAAGAUACACGAAGAACCUUACCUAGGCUUGACAUUGAGAGAAUCCGCUAGAAAUAGUGGAGUGUCUGGCUUGCUAGACCUUGAAAACAGGUGCUGCACGGCUGUCGUCAGCUCGUGUCGUGAGAUGUUGGGUUAAGUCCCGCAACGAGCGCAACCCCCUUUCUUAGUUGCUAACAGGUCAUGCUGAGAACUCUAAGGAUACUGCCUCCGUAAGGAGGAGGAAGGUGGGGACGACGUCAAGUCAUCAUGGCCCUUACGCCUAGGGCUACACACGUGCUACAAUGGGGUGCACAAAGAGAAGCAAUACUGCGAAGUGGAGCCAAUCUUCAAAACACCUCUCAGUUCGGAUUGUAGGCUGCAACUCGCCUGCAUGAAGCUGGAAUCGCUAGUAAUCGCAAAUCAGCCAUG
rnacentral:rRNA from 1 species